rnacentral:tRNA from 1 species
AGGCGGUGUAGCUCAGCUGGCUAGAGCGUACGGUUCAUACCCGUGAGGUCGGGGGUUCGAUCCCNUCAUCCGACUG